CCAGACGGCCGGCUAGAGCCCGGCGGGGAAGCGAGGGACCGAGCGAGACGGAGCUGAGCCUGAGAACGGCAGAGACGAAGAGACCCAGGGGCCGAGAGAAGCCGAGACAGAGACAGCAGCGCGGGGCCCCGAGGACCGAGCGGCGGCCAGGUGCCCGGCCCGCGCGGAGGGGUAGGGGCAGGCGGGGCGGGCGGCGGGGGCCGGCGGCGGGAGUGACGGCUGCUGGAACGCGGCAGGAGCCGGAGCGGACGCGGGGAGCUGGGCCGGGAGCCGCGUGCUCGCCUGGCUCUGCCUGCGCUUCCUGCCCCCUCCCCACUGCGCUCCCCCUGCCUGCACGAGGGCGCUGGGUGCGCAACGACAGCACGACGCGGCCAGAGUGGCGGGGCGGGAAUUCGAGGCCAGGGCGCGGGCGCCUUACCUGCACCGAGCCGGCGCCGGGAGUCUCGGGGCAUUCGGGGCUGGGGCAGACAGACAAGGCACCAGCCGGCGACCACACGGCGGGGUCAGUGAGGAGAGUGAACACAACCUCACCCAACCUCCGCAAAAACCCAGGGGCCCGGGGAUGUUCGCAUCCGUGUUAAAGGUGAGAGCUGAGGGCCAGAGAGAAGCCAUUUCCCGGAGUUCCUAAGCCCACGAGAUUUUAACCGGGGGCGGCCUAGUAGGAAGUCCUUGCUCUUUCUGCGGCUUUCAUGGUGCCUCUUUUCUAGCGGGCUUUUAGAUGUCCUCAUCAUCUGGAGUCCCUGCUAGUCUCGCUGAGAGCUAGCUCGUGCACGGACAAUGUCCACACUCUUCUGUUCAUACUGCCUGCCACUGGCCUGGGACAAGGAGCCGAAUAUGGGUGUGGAUGGGCCCAGACGGUAACCUCCUUCCCCACACUGACCAGCAAAGAAAGUCAGCAGACCUGUCCAUUUUGAAAAAUUACUUCCAGAGAACAAGGGCAGUGUUCUCACUAGCAUCAGAGAACCACAGUCUGAAGGGGCUCUCAGUGCCUUGGCUUCCCCCAUGUACCCUGUUGCCUUACGCCAUCUGGAAGGGCUUCAUACAGCACCUUCAGUGCCUUAGCUCUACAUUUUUCACAGCAGUGGGUAGGGUAGGAAAUAGUUACUGUGGUGCCUCGGGCACCCCCGAUUCCUUCGCCCUUGGUUUGGACGUGUGGGGAACGGGCCGUGGGUAUCAGGGGAUCUGGGCUCCAGCCCAGCUCUACCCCUUCCCUGCUGUUUCUCUCUGAGCUUUGGGUUCCUUGUCCUCACCCAGGCCAGCUCCUCAGAUGCUGAUUGUGCCGCUGCCCUGACCUGGGUGGGCCCUAGGGCCCCUGAGAGGGAUCAGAUCUGGGCCUGCCGUUGAGAAACACACAGUCUGAUGGAGGAGUCAGACUGACUGACGAUCACAGCACAGGGCAGUAAAAAGGGAAAUGCAAGGACCUGGACACAGAGGGGCACCAUCUGAGGAAGCAGGGGAGGGCUCUGAGGGAGGCGGUGUCCUCAAGAGUCACUGUAAGGUCAAAUAUGAAAGCUGGAGGGAACUGUUAUUAUCCUCCAGAACAUUCCUCCCCUGAGCUGUGGGUCUGAGCAGACUGGGAGCUGGAGAGCCUACACUAAUGAGGGUGCACUUCAGCCUCUUUAUCAGAUGGAGAGUACAGGGGAGGAAUCCUCUGGGAGGGAGAGGCUUCCUGGAGGCCUGGAGAUCAGCUGGGAGGAAGAAAGCGCUCUGCCCUGGCUUUUGGCAAAACUAGAAAGCCUCCAACAAUUUCCAAAACCCUCUCCCAGCCAAGAAUUAAUUUGUUCCUCCCAACAGCCCUCUGGGGUGAGCCACGCAGGGGUGAAUGUGCCUGAAAUAACAAGUCCAAUACCACACAGCGAUCAAUGGCCCAGGCAGGGCUGAUACCCAUGUCUGUCUCCAUGUCCCCCUUGGCAGUCUGAUGAAGCCUAUGAACCCCUAUUCAGAAUAGUGGGUUUUUUUUUGUUUUUGUUUUUUGUGUUUUGUUUUGAGAUGGAGUCUCACUUUGUCAUCCAGUGAGCCGAGAUUGCGCCACUGCACUCCAGCCUGGGCACAGAGUGAGAUUCUGUCUCAAAAAAAUAAGUAAAUAUAAUAAAAUCAACAUACCAGCCUGGGCAACAAAGUGCGAUCCCAUCCCUAAAAACAAAGAAAAGAAUUAGCGGGGCAUGGUGGUAUGUGCUUGUAGUCCCAGCUACGCGGGAGGCUGAUGUGUGAGGAUUGCUUGAGACUGGGAGGUCAAGACUGAAGUGAGCUGUGAUUGCGCCACUGCACUCCAGCCUGGGUGACAGAGCGAGACUCUACCUUGAAAACAAAAAUCAACUUUAUUGAGGUCUAUUUUACAAACCAUAGAAUAUGCUUAAGUGUACAGCUUGGUGAGUUUUGACAAACAUGUAUAUCCAUGAAACCAACACCACAGUCAAAAUACAGCAGUUUUCCAUCACGUAUCUCCGCCUACUGUGCCCGUUUGCAACCAGCUCUCUUCUCUCCGAGCCUUGCCUUAGGUACCACUGCUCUGCUCUCUGUCCAUAUAGAUUAGUUCUGCCUUUUCUUGAAUUGCAUACUAAUGAAAUCAAAUUGCAUGUCCUUCUUUGGGUCUUACUUCUUUUUGCUCAUCACAACAUCCUUGAGAUACACAGAAACUGUUUUAUGUACAAGUAGUUCCUUCCUCUUUAUUGCUAAGUAAUACUGUAUUAUAUAGAAAUACUACAGUUUGUGCAUUCAACUGUUAAUGGGCAUUUGGGUUGUUUCUAGUUUGGGGCUAUUAUGGAUAAAGUUGCUAUAAACAUUUUUGCAAAUAUGCUUUGUUUUGGGACAUGUGUUUACAUUUCUCCUAGCUGGAUACCUAGGAGUGGAAUUUCUGAAUUAUAGGGUAGAUAUAUGUUUAACUUUAUAAGAAAUUGCCAAGCCUGGGCAACACAACAUGACCCCAUCUCUACCCAAAAAAAAAAAAAAAAAAAAAA
rnacentral:lncRNA from 1 species